CACUGUGUGGAAAGUGUUGUAGUGGCACCAUGGACAGCUGGAAACAAAGUGAGCAUUUUAUGACAAGGAAUUAACAAUUCAGUUGGGUCACCGAAGUGUCGAACCCUCAGUAUCAUGCUUGUCACUCUGAUAUGAAGCUGAAUGGAACACUAGAAUUUAAUUGAAAAGCGUAGGAGGUACAGAGCUUCUGGAUGGUCUUCCAGAGACAUUCAGUAAUAUCCCACGAGGCUUGGAGACCUUCGGAAGACACCACAUAUCUGAAAAUGCACAGGAAUGAAUAAAAUAGUUUCACAAGACUAAGCUGCACGAAGAUGUAAAGAAACUGGAGAGAUGCACAUCCUGAACUUAUUAUAAAUCCCAAACUCCUGAACUGCCGAAAGAAUAGAGUGAGCAUAUCGUCCGUACUCCAGAAGCAGAAAUCACUGUUUUAAGGGUUGAAACAAUUUCACUAACACAUGGAAAGGAUUUCUUCCAGAUACACUGCAAAGACUUGAAAAUAAAAUUUGAUAAUAGAAAUACAA